rnacentral:rRNA from 1 species
UUCUGUAAGCCGUUGAAGGUGUCCUGUGAGGGGUGCUGGAGGUAUCAGAAGUGCGAAUGCUGACAUAAGUAACGAUAAAGCGGGUGAAAAGCCCGCUCGCCGGAAGACCAAGGGUUCCUGUCCAACGUUAAUCGGGGCAGGGUGAGUCGACCCCUAAGGCGAGGCCGAAAGGCGUAGUCGAUGGGAAACGGGUUAAUAUUCCCGUACUUGGUGUUACUGCGAAGGGGGGACGGAGAAGGCUAUGUUGGCCGGGCGACGGUUGUCCCGGUUUAAGCGUGUAGGUGUGUGUUCCAGGUAAAUCCGGUUCACUUUAACACUGAGGCGUGAUGACGAGGCACCACGGUGCUGAAGCAACAAAUGCCCUGCUUCCAGGAAAAGCCUCUAAGCAUCAGGUAACAUCAAAUCGUACCCCAAACCGACACAGGUGGUCAGGUAGAGAAUACCAAGGCGCUUGAGAGAACUCGGGUGAAGGAACUAGGCAAAAUGGUGCCGUAACUUCGGGAGAAGGCACGCUGACAC